rnacentral:rRNA from 1 species
UGGUGGGUUGCCUUGUCAGGUUGAUUCCGGUAACGAACGAGACCUCAGCCUGCUAAAUAGUCACAACUACUUCCUGUAGUUGGCAGACUUCUUAGAGGGACUAUUGGCGUUUAGCCAAUGGAAGUGUGAGGCAAUAACA